rnacentral:tRNA from 1 species
GGCGGGAUGUCCGAGUCCGGCUUAAGGAGGCGGUCUUGAAAACCGUUGACCCUUCACGGGGUCCGUGGGUUCGAAUCCUACUCCCGCCGCCA